UGUUUUACUUUGCAGCUCCAAUGCCCCCAAAUGUCCGGCCGUCAACUCGCUGAGGCCCCGUUCCACUCCCUCCCUCUUCCCAAAUCGUCGCUGCCGCCGUCUGUGCUUCCGGCUGGGCCUCCUACGACACCGACCUAACGACCUGCAGCUCGGCGCGUAGGCCUUCGCCUACCCCGGCGUCGCGGCCCGAUCUGGAGCUUGCCGCGCGCGAGGGCUCUGCCUACGCCCGCGCCGCCGCCGUUGAAGAGCACCGAAGAGUGCGCUAAAGACGGCGCCGCCGACGCGUGGGUGUUCGACGUCGAUGAGAUGAUGCUCUCCAAACUCCCCUACUACGCGCAGCACAGAUACGUAUGGGAGAGGCGGCAGUGAUCCAUUCCAGCAUGACUGUUGUACAAGGAGGUGUGAGAGCUCGGCUUCAAGACCUUCUUGCUCAGCGGCUGCAUCGAGGGUCACAAGGGUGUCACGGUGGACAAUCUAAAAAAAAGGGUUCCAUGAGUGGGGCAAGCUUUCCUGAGUUUGGGCAGUCAUUAAGCACUACGGCCAGCUAUGCAAGUCGACGGCUACAACAUGCAGUAUCCACAGAUGUUCCCAUCUCAUCUGUGGCCUCUAGAGAUGCUGCUGUAACAGUCUUUGUACGGAAAUAUGGACAGCAAUUGUCACUUGCAGGGAGUCCUCAAGCCCAAGCAGGUACUACUAGCAUCUUUUAUACAUCUACUUCAUACUUCUCUAACAAUUUGGCUUUGGUUGUUCAAGCCAGACAGUGUCUGGCUAAACAAAGCAAUAAGUACGACCUUUUAGAGUUUAGUACAUAUAUUCCUCAUGGUAAAUAAAUCGCAUCCCGUAAUAAUAGAUUAUAUUUCAAUAUAUUAUAGCUCUAUCUGCUCUAGCGUAUUACUGACAUAUUAGCUUCAUGUAUGG